GAUGAAGAACGCAGCGAAAUGCGAUAGGUAAUGUGAAUUGCAGAAUUCAGUGAAUCAUCGAAUCUUUGAACGCACAUUGCGCCCGCCAGUAUUCUGGCGGGCAUGCCUGUUCGAGCGUCAUUUCAACCAUCAAGCCCCCGGCUUGUGUUGGGGACCUGCGGCUGCCGCAGGCCCUGAAAAGCAGUGGCGGGCUCGCUGUCACACCGAGCGUAGUAGCAUACAUCUCGCUCUGGGCGUGCUGCGGGUUCCGGCCGUUAAACCACCUUCAUAACCCAAGGUUGACCUCGGAUCAGGUAGGAAGACCCGCUGAACUUAAGCAUAUCAAUAAGCGGAGGA
rnacentral:misc_RNA from 1 species